AGUUUGAUCCUGGCUCAGGACGAACGCUGGCGGCGUGCUUAACACAUGCAAGUCGAACGGAAAGGCCCUGCUUUUGUGGGGUGCUCGAGUGGCGAACGGGUGAGUAACACGUGAGUAACCUGCCCUUGACUUUGGGAUAACUUCAGGAAACUGGGGCUAAUACCGGAUAGGAGCUCCUGCUGCAUGGUGGGGGUUGGAAAGUUUCGGCGGUUGGGGAUGGACUCGCGGCUUAUCAGCUUGUUGGUGGGGUAGUGGCUUACCAAGGCUUUGACGGGUAGCCGGCCUGAGAGGGUGACCGGCCACAUUGGGACUGAGAUACGGCCCAGACUCCUACGGGAGGCAGCAGUGGGGAAUAUUGCACAAUGGGCGGAAGCCUGAUGCAGCAACGCCGCGUGCGGGAUGACGGCCUUCGGGUUGUAAACCGCUUUCGCCUGUGACGAAGCGUGAGUGACGGUAAUGGGUAAAGAAGCACCGGCUAACUACGUGCCAGCAGCCGCGGUAAU
rnacentral:rRNA from 1 species